AGCAGCCGCGGUAAUUCCAGCUCCAAUAGCGUAUAUUAAAGUUGCUGCAGUUAAAAAGCUCGUAGUUGAAUUUCGGGACUAUCAUGUCGGUCGUGCCUAGGUACGUACUGGCAUUGUUGGUUUCUCCCUUCUGACGAGCCAUGAUGUCAUUAAUUUGGUGUUAUGGGGAGUUAGGACUGUUACUUUGAAAAAAUUAGAGUGUUUAAAGCAGGCAUU
rnacentral:rRNA from 1 species